rnacentral:lncRNA from 1 species
AUGUUCUAGUUCUAAGGAAUACCCAAUACUAAUAUGUAGCCCAUCGUUAUUGGUUGUUUGUUUAACCAACGCAAACACUCCGCUCAUUCCCACGAUUUUUGUUUUAGUCGCCAUCACAUAGACAACUCUUCCUGUCCCCUCGACUCUGACAACCAUCAUCUCACUCCUCUCCUAUCCAUCCUCUCCUUUUUUUCCUCUAUAUGUGUCAGCCAACAAGGAGAAGUACGCCGACCGUGGUGAGCCAUACUGUCGCUGUAUGGUUUCCCAUGCUCUGGUCAACAUGCAUGUGACUGUCACGGUAUCUGUUCCAUCUGCAUCACCAACAAGAAUUGUCAAAUCGCUCAAAUCAAUCCAUCUUCAUAUAACAAAGUUGUGGCUUACAACACCACCCCACCUCUCUAGGAUGUAUCUAUCAGACACUUUACAUAAAGAUAAAGACACAAAUUUUUGAAUUGUAAAUUAUCUAUAAAUAUACA